rnacentral:lncRNA from 1 species
UGAUAAGGAGAGAGAGUGGGAAGGGUGAGAGAGGAAGAGGCAGUAGGAUGGAGGAUUUUGGGAAAAAAUGGGCUUUUAAAUAGGGAUAUUUUGGUCAAAAAAAUAGCUUUUCGACAGCUGAAAAUAACGUUUUUGGAAAGCUCCAAAAUGGAGCUUCUUCCAAAAAGCUAUUUUCAGCUUUCUGGAAAAGCUAAAAUAGCUUUCCAAAUUUUUUACCAAGCACUCCUUGGAUGAACAGCUUUCUAGAAAAGCUAAAAUGACUUCCCAAAAUUUUUACAAAGCACUCUUUUUCAUCCAAAAAUACUUUUGGAGGGCUAGAAAGUGCUUUUUGGCCCUCCAAAAGCUUCCCCAAAUGGGGCCUAUAUCCUUUUGGAGCCACAUUUGGAAACUACUUUUUUAGCUUAUGGUAUUGUGAUGGGCGAUCUUAAGAACCAUGUCUAUUCCCCUUGGCUGAUGAAUAAUAUUCUUUUUGUGUUCUAUGGAAGACAUUCUUUGGUGGUUCCAUCUUCAACUGAUUCUAUGGGUGAUAUGGACUAAAAGAAUGGUGGCAAAAAUGUCAAUUAUUAUUUUUCUAUUGUCAUGUAUGAUAGAGAGUAGUGGGUUUCCUCUCUCACCAUAUCCCCCCUUUCUCUCUUUCUGAUGUUGCAUGAGUUGUGGAUCUAGAGGUCUGUUGGACCAAAGAGUGGAAGUCUAAUGCAAUGUGCAUGAAAGCUUCUUGAAGGCAUAAAUUCUCGGACAAAUGUCAUAUUUCCAAGAGCUUGGACUCAUCUUGAAGAUCUCUUUGAGUUUUAUGAUUGAUACUACUUUCAUGGAUUUUGGUUACUUAGGGUCAAAAAUGACUUGGAAUCUCGCACAAAUGUCACAUUUCCAAGAUCUUGGACUCGUCUUGAAGAUCUCUUUGAGUUUUAUGAUUGAUACUAUUUUCAUGGAUUUUGGUCACUUAUGGUCAAAAAUGACUUGGAAGCUAUCUCUAUAAUUCAAUGAAGAAUUUGUUUCUUUUUUUAUAUUUUUUUCAUUAUAGGAGUCAUUAAGUUAGAUAUAAGGUCUCGCAUUAGAAGUUAACUAGGAUUAGUAUCACUUGGUACAUGUAUAAAUAUCUAAGGAAAGGGUUAUGAACAAAUUGUUUUAAAAGUUGAGUUUUAUGCAACUGAAUAUAUUGUAGUGAAUUUUGUAAUGCCUCUUCUUUUCUUCAAAAUUGUCUUCUUAUUGUUCUAGUUCGGUCUUGAUAAUUCUUCUGAAGAUCUACAAGCUCUUUAUGCUCAUUGCAGCAUCACUCUCUUUCCUUAAUCAAUGGCCUUGCCAGUGGAUGGAAAAAAGUUGGCAUGCGAGAGUGCUUUUGCCUUUUUUCUCCUCAGAUGACUGGAUCCAUUUCCCUAGUUUACUUUAAGAGUUUUUUCUCUUGACUAUUAUUGCCUUGGAACAAAUAAAAAAUGGAAGUAAAACAGUUGAGUGUGAUGAAUAGAAUUUAUCUGAUAAAUUGCUAAAGAUUUAAGUUACAUGCUUUGACACUUUGUUCAUUUUGCCUAAUCUCAAAUGUCUCUCUUAUAGCAAGGGUUAAAGUGGAUACUUGCAUCUCUUGCUAUCACUAAUUCUUUAUUUUAUAGCUAUGCUGCUAAGGAGGUCCUUUAAGUGAUAUAUUCCCUUUUUGGCUAAUACUUCAUGUUAAGUUGCUUUUGCUAUAAAUAUGAAAACCUUUUAGCAAGGUCUAGUGUCAACUUGGAUCUACAGCUUGUGUUUAUUGGAAUUCUAAUUAAAAAAAUACUAAUUAAAAAUUAUAAUUAUGUACAAAAAAUAUGUAAAUGUUAGAACAAGAAGGGAAACUUUGACAUAGACAAUCAUUUUUAAGAGAAUAUUUAGUGAGGGAUACAUCUUAAGGGAUGCAAUUUUUUAUAAUGGCGUUUAGACACAAAUACUUCCUUCUAAUAUUAAUUGCAUAUAAAGAACCCUCUUUUACAUACUUGUAGGUCAAAGCCACCCUUACCCUAGAGCUCAAGUCAAGUUUUCCUUAGCGAUAA